rnacentral:rRNA from 1 species
UACGGAGGGAGCUAGCGUUGUUCGGAAUUACUGGGCGUAAAGCGCACGUAGGCGGCUUUUUAAGUCAGGGGUGAAAUCCCGGGGCUCAACCCCGGAACUGCCCUUGAAACUGGAAAGCUAGAAUCUUGGAGAGGCGAGUGGAAUUCCGAGUGUAGAGGUGAAAUUCGUAGAUAUUCGCAAGAACACCAGUGGCGAAGGCGGCUCACUGGCCCGGUACUGACGCUGAGGUGCGAAAGCGUGGGGAGCAAACAGG